UACGUAGGGGGCUAGCGUUGUCCGGAAUCAUUGGGCGUAAAGCGCGCGUAGGCGGCCCGGUAAGUCCGCUGUGAAAGUCAAAGGCUCAACCUUUGAAUGUCAGCGGAUACUGCCGGGCUAGAGUCCGGAAGAGGCGAGUGGAACUCCUGGUGUAGCGGUGGAAUGCGCAGAUAUCAGGAAGAACACCCGUGGCUAAGGCGGCUCUCUAGUACGGUACUGACGCUGAGACGCGAAAGCGUGGGGAGCGAACAGG
rnacentral:rRNA from 1 species